rnacentral:rRNA from 1 species
UAAAGAAAAAAGUAAGAAAGGGCGUAUGGCGGAUGCCUAGGCUCACAGAGGCGAUGAAGGACGUGAUAAGCUGCGAUAAGCUUCGGGUAGGUGCAAAUAACCUUUGAUCCGAGGAUUUCCGAAUGGGACAACCCAUACAUUUGAAGAAUGUAUAUCUCUACCUAAGGUAGAGAGGCAAACCGAGGGAACUGAAACAUCUUAGUACCUCGAGGAAGAGAAAAUAACUAAUGAUUCCCCCAGUAGUGGCGAGCGACCGGGGAAGAGCCCAAACCGUCGUUGUUUCGGCAUCGGCGGGGUAGUAGGACCGCGAUAUUGUAUGUGUUUUGUGAGUAGAAUGUUCUGGAAAGAACAA